rnacentral:rRNA from 1 species
GACGAACGCUGGCGGCGUGCUUAACACAUGCAAGUCGAACGGAAAGGCCCUGCUUUUGUGGGGUGCUCGAGUGGCGAACGGGUGAGUAACACGUGAGUAACCUGGCCUUGACUUGGGGAUAACUUCAGGAAACUGGGGCUAAUACCGGAUAGGAGCUCCUGCUGCAUGGUGGGGGUUGGAAAGUUUCGGCGGUUGGGGAUGGACUCGCGGCUUAUCAGCUUGUGGGUGGGGUAGUGGCUUACCAAGGCUUUGACGGGUAGCCGGCCUGAGAGGGUGACCGGCCACAUUGGGACUGAGAUACGCCCCAGACUCCUACGGGAGGCAGCAGUGGGGAAUAUUGCACAAUGGGCGGAAGCCUGAUGCAGCAACGCCGCGUGCGGGAUGACGGCCUUCGUGUUGUAAACCGCUUUCGCCUGUGACGAAGCGUGAGUGACGGUAAUGGGUAAAGAAGCACCGGCUAACUACGUG